AAGGGAGACCUAAUUCAGGUAGGAGACGAAAAAAAAGUAGUCGCUACCAAGAAUCAAUCCCAAAAGGUCGGAGCGAGGCGAAAUUGGCUUUCAAACUAGGUUCUGGGUUCACACAAGACCUGAAUCAGGAACAAGGGCUAUUAGCUCAGGUGGUUAGAGCGCACCCCUGAUAAGGGUGAGGUCCCUGGUUCGAGUCCAGGAUGGCCCACCUGUACAGGUGGCAAAAAGAAAGAAAAGAAGCGAGGAAUCAGCACCUUAUCUUACUUACAUAGUAAGAGAGAAUGCUGGCUCUGAGUAAAGAGUCCAGAGGAACCUUGAAAACUGCAUAGAGCUAGGUGAAAAAGCCAAAAAAGAAGACCGCAA
rnacentral:tRNA from 1 species